UACGUAGGGUGCAAGCGUUAAUCGGAAUACUGGGCGUAAAGCGUGCGCAGGCGGCUUUGCAAGACAGAUGUGAAAUCCCCGGGCUCAACCUGGGAACUGCAUUUGUGACUGCAUGGCUAGAGUACGGUAGAGGGGGGAUGGAAUUCCGCGUGUAGCAGUGAAAUGCGUAGAUAUGCGGAGGAACACCGAUGGCGAAGGCAAUCCCCUGGACCUGUACUGACGCUCAUGCACGAAAGCGUGGGGAGCAAACAGG
rnacentral:rRNA from 1 species